rnacentral:rRNA from 1 species
GACAGAGGUGCCGAGCGUUAGGCGGAAUCACUGGGCUUAAAGCGUGUGUAGGCGGACCGCUAAGUACCUUGUGAAAUCCCCCGGCUCAACCGGGGAACGGCUGGGUAUACUGGCGGUCUUGAGCCAUCCAGGGGCAGUCGGAACAGACGGUGGAGCGGUGAAAUGCGUAGAUAUCGUCUGGAACGCCGAAGGUGAAAACAGACUGCUGGGGAUGAGCUGACGCUGAGACACGAAAGCCAGGGGAGCGAACGGG